UACGGAGGAUGCAAGCGUUAUCCGGAAUGAUUGGGCGUAAAGGGUCCGCAGGUGGCAGUGUAAGUCUGCUGUCAAAGAAUGAGGCUUAGCCUCAUCAAGGCAGUGGAAACUACACAGCUAGAGUACGGUCGGGGUAGAAGGAAUUCCUGGUGUAGCGGUGAAAUGCGUAGAGAUCAGGAAGAACACCGGUGGCGAAAGCGUUCUGCUAGACCUGUACUGACACUGAGGGACGAAAGCUAGGGGAGCGAAUGGG
rnacentral:rRNA from 1 species